AAUUCAUUAUCUGAGACUAAAUUGCGACUUCUCAAACAGUGCAACUUGUAUAUUUUUUAUGGUACAACUUAAUCUAAAUAGUUUUAAAUGAUAUAACUUAGUCUCAAACAGUAAAACUUAAAAUGCUACAUCUCUUUUGCAUCAACCAGGCGUUCAUAUUUUGUUAAUAAACUAGAUUGUGAAAUUUGAUUAUAAUAAUCCUACAAAUUCGAACAAAAAAAUAUAAUAAAUUAAAAUUUGAGAAC
rnacentral:lncRNA from 1 species